CAGUAGCCACGGUAAUACGUAGGGUGCGAGCGUUAAUCGGAAUUACUGGGCGUAAAGCGUGCGCAGGCGGUUUGUUAAGACAGAUGUGAAAUCCCCGGGCUUAACCUGGGAACUGCAUUUGUGACUGGCCGGCUAGAGUAUGGCAGAGGGAGGUGGAAUUCCACGUGUAGCAGUGAAAUGCAUAGAUAUGUGGAGGAGCACCGAUGGCGAAGGCAGCCUCCUGGGCCAAUACUGACGCUCAUGCACGAAAGCGUGGGGAGCAAACAGGAUUAGAUACCCCAGUAGUCCCUGUCUCUUAUAC
rnacentral:rRNA from 1 species